rfam:Hordeum vulgare subsp. vulgare, WGS project CAJW01000000 data, contig: morex_contig_46617
CUCUUAUCAACACCACCGUGAAUAUAACAAGAUUAAGUGUAGUAUUUGUUCUUUUUAGUUUAAUAUCUGAUAUGUGGGUCAUGUGUCCUUAACGAUAUUAAAUUUAUUUAUUGUUAUGGAGAAGGAUCCAUCACAGUGACUUGUCACCGGGCCCCGCGUGUUCCUUGGAAGCAGAUUAGGAAGCCUCAAAGUGUAUGCACGUUUA